rnacentral:rRNA from 1 species
CCCCCUCGCCGUAAGCGCAAGGUUUUCUACGCAACGUUCAUCGGCGUAGAGUGAGUCGGCCCCUAAGGCGAGGCAGAAAUGCGUAGCUGAUGGGAAACAGGUUAAUAUUCCUGUACUUCUUAUAACUGCGAUGGAGAGACGGAGAAGGCUAUGCCUACCGGGCGUUGGUUGUCCCGGGGAAAGGCUGUAGGCUGAGGUGUUAGGCAAAUCCGGCACCUUAAGGCUGAGAGUCGAGACCACUGGUCCUUUGUGACCGGGAAGUGGUUGAUGCCAUGCUUCCAGGAAAAUCUUCUAAGCUUCAGGUUAUAAGGAACCGUA